rnacentral:lncRNA from 1 species
UGGUUAGCUGCCUGGUGCGGGUGCUGAGUUGACCUAGGGUUCUGUUUCGCUGGGGUUGGCAUUUUGUACAGCCAAUACAACCGAGAAUGAUGGCCGUCGGAGCUCGGAGUGAAUACAGCGAAUGAUUCCAAUAGGAACCACGGACUCUGAUCUGGGUAAACAGGGAACAGCAUUAGACUCUUUACAGAAUUCUUUCUCAAGAGGAUUUAGACUCCUUUUCUAUUGAUAGGGCAUAAGAAUUGACUCAGACCUAGAAACUGGCUGGGACCAUCUCAUAAUGUUUGUGUACAUUCCUGUUGUCUUCUACCUCCCAUCCACCGUGUCUCUCUACUGCCUAUAACCAGCCUACAUAAGUUCUUUCAAGAGAUCAAGAAAGAAACAGAAAUCUAGACAGAGAAGGUGAAAAAGAGAAGACCUAACAGAGAGCUAAGAAAGAUAAAUGUGAUUGGAGAGGAAACUAUCCCCAAUUCUCUCUUCAUUGACAUUUGGGGCUGUACCAGUUUACAUUUUCACCAACAUUCCCACCAUUGUGGUGGCCAGCAACUGAGGAGGCUGAGAUAAGUGGAUUCCCUGAGCCCAGGAGGUGGAGGUUGCAGUUAGCCAAGAUUGCGUCACUGCACUCCAGCCUAGGCAACAGAGUGAGACCUGUCUCAAAAAAAAAAAAAAAAAAGAGUUAAAUUAAAAAAUAAAUAAAAGUCAUUUGACCAUAUAUGUGAUUGUUUAUUUCUUGCUCUCCAUCUAUUCUAUUUACCUAUAUAUCUAUCUUUAUUCCAGUACAAUGCUGUUUUUAUUAUUGUAACUUUGAAAAAAAAUUUUAAAAUCUAGAAGUGUGAUCUUUAACUUUUGUUCUUUUUCAAAAUUGUUU